AAUCAACGCUGGCGGCGUGCCUCAGACAUGCAAGUCGAACGAUUAAAGCUCCCUUCGGGAAAGAUAUAAAGUGGCGUACGGGUGUGUAACACGUAAGUAACCUACCCUCGAGUGGGGAAUAACAAUCGGAAACGAUUGCUAAUACCGCAUAAUGCAGCGGCACCGUAAGGUGACAGUUGUUAAUGGAUUUAUUCGCUUGAGGAGGAGCUUGCGGCAGAUUAGCUAGUUGGUAAGGUAAUGGCUUACCAAGGCGACGAUCUGUAGCCGGUCUAAGAGGACGGUCGGUCACACUGGCACUGAAUAACGGGUCAGACUCCUACGGGAGGCAGCAGUCGGGAAUUUUGGGCAAUGGGCGAAAGCCUGACCCAGCAACGCCGCGUGAAGGAUGAAGUCUUUCGGGAUGUAAACUUCGAAAGAAUAGGAAGAAUAAAUGACGGUACUAUUUAUAAGGUACGGCUAACUACGUGCCAGCAGCCGCCGUAAAAC
rnacentral:rRNA from 1 species